CACGUUUAUUUGACUGGAAUGAGUAUCCAAAUAUUCAGUGUUUGGUUAACAUUUUUGUGAUCCCGGAUUAAGCAUAGCCCAGAUAUAUUACUUCACUAAUCCGUUUGGGAUACACAAUACCAACCGAAAUCUAACAGAUGUAUUGUCACUGCAGUUGCAACAUAACAUCUCAUAUCAUUAAGGUGUCCCAAGCAAACUUGAUCAGUUGGUGGCGAACGACUGCAUGCCAUAGAAUUUCCAGCAUGGUAUGGUCCUGAAGCUUUCACCUGAACAAUGAGAAGCAACGCACAACCACCUUGCGUUCUUUUACUGCUUCACUCUAAUAGGAUGGAUCAGGAUACAUCCAAAUGGUGGCUGCUUAAGGUGAGAGGUCUAACAGGGCAAUCCAAGUGACUAGUGCCAAAAUAGCAUCGCAUAAUGCAGUUGCAGAGUAAUCCAAGAGGUGUUUUCUACUCUUUCCUUUCCGGAUGUGCCCCUGCCAAUCCAGAUGAAUCCCGUGCCUCACACAGUGAUCCCCCUCCAACCAACACAUCCCUCAGAAACUAAAGCACUGUCCCCUUCCAACCCACAAACAAAGACAACUUUUCCAUCAAAAUCCCUCAGAAAUUG